GCACAGUUCAGGAGCUCCUCUCAAGCCAAACAGAAUACAGAGAAGACACCCAGAUCUAAACUUCGCUCCGCUCAGAUCAGAACCACCUGAAGAUCAUGAGGUCAUCAGGCUGUGAUGAGGUCAUCAGGCUGUGUCUGAGAGCAGCACCAAGCUGAACAUCAGCUCUGAUCAUCUCUUCAUUCUUUCCAUCUGCUCAGCUGUAGCCCCGCCUCCUGCUCAGCUGUAGCCCCGCCUCCUGCUCAGCUGUAGCCCCGCCUCCUGUUCAGCUGUAGCCCCGCCUCCUGUUCAGCUGUAGCCCCUCCUCCUGCUGAGCUGUAGCCCCUCCUCCUGCACAGCUGUAGCCCCUCCUCCUGCUGAGCUGUAGCCCCGCCUCCUGUUCUCUGCCAACCCUGACUGGACACACACCAUCAGCUGGACCUCUGCAGCUCGGCUCGGUGCAUGUUGUUGCAGCUGUGCUCACACACAGCAGGAUGACGCCUGAACAAUUUAAGGUUCCAAAAGAACAAAAACAAAAUGUAGUUGUUGUUAGAAAUGUCAUGGCAAUGCAAACUGAAGUGGUGAAUUAAAAAGUUCAAUCUUAAAA